UACGUAGGGGGCAAGCGUUGUCCGGAAUCAUUGGGCGUAAAGAGCGUGUAGGCGGUCCGGUCAGUCGGUUGUGAAAACUCGAGGCUCAACCUCGAGACGUCGAUGGAAACCGUCUGGCUAGAGUCCGGAAGAGGAGAGUGGAAUUCCUGGUGUAGCGGUGAAAUGCGCAGAUAUCAGGAAGAACACCCGUGGCGAAGGCGGCUCUCUGGGACGGUACUGACGCUGAGACGCGAAAGCGUGGGGAGCGAACAGG
rnacentral:rRNA from 1 species